CACCAGGGAAAAGGGCCACGGUUUUAAGUCUGUCAUUGCCACUAGUCAGAUCAGUAGUACAUUUUGUAUUAAACUGUCCAGUUAACAGGGAAUAACCCAACACGGAAGGCAGAAUCUUUACUGUGGCAGAAGUGCCAAGAGAACUCCAAGCAGCAUUUAAAUGAACAGGCAGUGGUACGGCAUGCAGUUGACCUGUUCUCAGCUCAGGAUUCUUAAGGAUUUCUG